CCGCGUAAGCGGGAUCAGGUAAGGGUGAAAGGGUGCGGUAAGAGCGCACCGCGCGGCUGGUAACAGUCCGUGGCACGGUAAACUCCACCCGGAGCAAGGCCAAAUAGGGGUUCAUAAGGUACGGCCCGUACUGAACCCGGGUAGGCUGCUUGAGCCAGUGAGCGAUUGCUGGCCUAGAUGAAUGACUGUCCACGACAGAACCCGGCUUAUCGGUCAGUUUCACCU
rnacentral:RNase_P_RNA from 1 species